CGGACGGGUGAGUAACGCGUGGGUAACCUGCCUCACACAGGGGGAUAACAGUUGGAAACGACCGCUAAUACCGCAUAACCCGCUGGUGCCGCAUGGCACUGACGGAAAAGAUUUUAUCGGUGUGAGAUGGACCCGCGUCUGAUUAGCCAGUUGGCAGGGUAACGGCCUACCAAAGCGACGAUCAGUAGCCGGCCUGAGAGGGUGAACGGCCACAUUGGGACUGAGACACGGCCCAG
rnacentral:rRNA from 1 species